GCAAGGAGAAGUUCGACUAAGAUCGCCACUUCGUGUGGCAACGUCGAACCACCCCACGUCAUGUAGG
rnacentral:sRNA from 1 species